AUUGAACGCUGGCGGCAUGCCUUACACAUGCAAGUCGAACGGCAGCACGGGUGCUUGCACCUGGUGGCGAGUGGCGAACGGGUGAGUAAUACAUCGGAACAUGUCCUGUAGUGGGGGAUAGCCCGGCGAAAGCCGGAUUAAUACCGCAUACGAUCUACGGAUGAAAGCGGGGGACCUUCGGGCCUCGCGCUAUAGGGUUGGCCGAUGGCUGAUUAGCUAGUUGGUGGGGUAAAGGCCUACCAAGGCGACGAUCAGUAGCUGGUCUGAGAGGACAACCAGCCACACUGGGACUGAGACACGGCCCAGACUCCUACGGGAGGCAGCAGUGGGGAAUUUUGGACAAUGGGCGAAAGCCUGAUCCAGCAAUGCCGCGUGUGUGAAGAAGGCCUUCGGGUUGUAAAGCACUUUUGUCCGGAAAGAAAUCCUUGGCCCUAAUACGGUCGGGGGAUGACGGUACCGGAAGAAUAAGCACCGGCUAACUACGUG
rnacentral:rRNA from 1 species